AUGAAGAGUCAGAGAGCCGUGUCUCUACAGUCAGAGGUUUUUGUACGACGACUCAACCAGUUUGUAUCACUGUGGUACACGUUUGGUGGAGGAACCAGGCUGGAGUUUGGAAGUGAUACUCGCCCCACCUUGACAGUGCUGCCCCCCUCCAGUGUGGAGCUGCAGCAGCAGCAGGUUAGCCUCAUGUGUCUGGCCAACAAGGGCUUCCCCUCAGACUGGACUCUGUCCUGGAAGCUGGACGGCAGCAGCAGCAGCAGCAGCAGCUGGGAGCAGAGCAGGAGCCCCGGGGUGCUGCAGAAUGACGGCCUCUACAGCUGGAGCAGCACCCUGAGGCUCCCUGCAGACCAGUGGAGGAAGGUGGGCUCUGUGACCUGUGAGGCCUCCCAGGGCUCCCAGUCCGCAGUCACAGAGACACUGAGGAGAGACCAGUGUUCCCAGUCCUGA